GUACAACUGUGAUGACAGAUUUGGCCUGUAUGUAAUGCAUCUGGAUUCUAAAUGAAGACAACAGUCCCUCUAAACUGAUGUUGC
rnacentral:snoRNA from 1 species